AUUGAACGCUGGCGGCAGGCCUAACACAUGCAAGUCGAACGAGUGGCGGACGGGUGAGAAAUGUCGGGGACACUGCGUGGUGGGGGGGGAUAACUAGUGGAAACGGUCGCUAAUCACGCAUAAUAUCGGAUGCCCCGAGAGGGGAUUAGCUAGGAGGUGGGGUAACGGCUCACAUAGGGGACGAUCCCUAGCUGGUCUGAGAGGAUGACCAGCCACACUGGAACUGAGACACGGUCCAGACUCCUACGGGAGGCAGCAGUGGGGAAUAUUGCACAAUGGGCGCAAGCCUGAUGCAGCCAUGCCGCGUGUGUGAAGAAGGCCUUCGGGUUGUAAAGUACUUUCAGCGGGGAGGCGUUACCCGCAGAAGAAGCACCGGCUAACUCCGUGCCAGCAGCCGCGGUAAUAC
rnacentral:rRNA from 1 species